AACGACACCACGUCAAAUGCCUUACUAAAACAUCACCCAUUUGAUAAAGCAUCAGGAAAUUUAUCCCACCCGAGGAGUAAUGCAGUUGGUUGCUGUAGUUCCAUUAUCACGGUUUUUCGUCAUGGACAUUUCAGUGUGCUUCUUAGAAAAGAGCACACAAGAUCCCCACGGCCCACGAACAUCCUUGAGCCAAUGCUGGAUUUUUUCCAUGACAGAAGAGGGACUUCCACCCACAUUCUGCUCCAUCCUUAUCUUCAAGACUCAUCCAGCUUUACUGCUUCAGUGCUUCUUAUGCUGCUAGUCCUGCUACACAACUUUUCUUGCUUCACUGGCAAGUUGGAUCACUUCAGUUGCUGUGACACACCUGCAGUCACUCACCACGGGAUUAUGGCCAGGUAAUGCAGAGAAGACGUCGAGAAGAUGGACACCAAAACAUCGCCGGU